GAUGAACGCUGGCGGCGUGCCUAAUACAUGCAAGUCGAGCGAACGGACGAGAAGCUUGCUUUUCUGAUGUUAGCGGCGGACGGGUGAGUAACACGUGGAUAACCUACCUAUAAGACUGGGAUAACUUCGGGAAACCGGAGCUAAUACCGGAUAAUAUUUUGAACCGCAUGGUUCAAAAGUGAAAGACGGUCUUGCUGUCACUUAUAGAUGGAUCCGCGCUGCAUUAGCUAGUUGGUAAGGUAACGGCUUACCAAGGCAACGAUGCAUAGCCGACCUGAGAGGGUGAUCGACCACACUGGAACUGAGACACGGUCCAGACUCCUACGGGAGGCAGCAGUAGGGAAUCUUCCGCAAUGGGCGGAAGCCUGACGGAGCAACGCCGCGUGAGUGAUGAAGGUCUUCGGAUCGUAAAACUCUGUUAUUAGGGAAGAACAUAUGUGUAAGUAACUGUGCACAUCUUGACGGUACCUAAUCAGAAAGCCACGGCUAACUACGUG
rnacentral:rRNA from 1 species